rnacentral:rRNA from 1 species
CCUACGGGUGGCAGCAGUGAGGAAUAUUGGUCAAUGGGCGCGAGCCUGAACCAGCCAAGUAGCGUGAAGGAUGACUGCCCUACGGGUUGUAAACUUCUUUUAUACAGGAAUAAAGUGAGGCACGUGUGCCUUUUUGUAGGUACCUUAUGAAUAAGGACCGGCUAAUUCCGUGCCAGCAGCCGCGGUAAUACGGAGGAUCCGAGCGUUAUCCGGAUUUAUUGGGUUUAAAGGGAGCGUAGGUGGGUUGUUAAGUGAGUUGUGAAAGUUCGCGGCUCAACCGUAAAAUUGCAAUGGAUACUGGCAGUCUUGAGUACAGGUGAGGUAGGCGGAAUUCGUGGUGUAGCGGUGAAAUGCUUAGAUAUCACGAAGAACUCCGAUUGCGAAGGCAGCAUACUAAACUGCCACUGACAUUGAUGCUCGAAAGUGUGGGUAUCAAACAGGAUUAGAUACCCGAGUAGUC